GACGUAGGGCGCGAGCGUUGUCCGGAUUUAUUGGGCGUAAAGAGCUCGUAGGCGGCUCGUCGCGUCGACUGUGAAAACCCGCGGCUCAACUGCGGGCCUGCAGUCGAUACGGGCAGGCUAGAGUUCGGUAGGGGAGACUGGAAUUCCUGGUGUAGCGGUGAAAUGCGCAGAUAUCAGGAGGAACACCGGUGGCGAAGGCGGGUCUCUGGGCCGAUACUGACGCUGAGGAGCGAAAGCGUGGGGAGCGAACAGG
rnacentral:rRNA from 1 species